AUUGAACGCUGGCGGCAGGCUUAACACAUGCAAGUCGAACGAUUGGCGGACGGGUGAGUAAUGCUUGGGAACCUAGCUUAUGGAUGGGGAUAACUACGGGAAACGGUAGCUAAUACCGCGUACCAUAGGCUGAGCCCAAGUGGGAUUAGGUAGUUGGUACGGUAAAGGCUAACCAAGCCGACGAUCGCGAGCUGGUCUGAGAGGAUGACCAGCCACACUGGGACUGAGACAAGGUCCAUACUCCGACGGGAGGCAGCAGUGGGGAAUAUUGCGCAAGGGGGGAAAGCUGACGGAGCAAUGCCGAGUGAAUGAAGAAGGCCUUCGGGUUGUAAAGGUCUGUCGGUAGAGAGGCGUUAACUAAAGAGGAAGAACCGGCUAAGUCCGUGCCAGCAGCCGCGGUAAUAC
rnacentral:rRNA from 1 species